rnacentral:rRNA from 1 species
AAUCAACGCUGGCGGCGUGCCUAACACAUGCAAGUCGAACGCGAAAGUCCCGCAAGGGGCAAGUAGAGUGGCAAACGGGUGAGUAACACGUGGGUGACCUGCCUUCGAGUGGGGGAUAACGUCCCGAAAGGGACGCUAAUACCGCAUGACAUCCUGCUUUUGGAAAAGCGGAGAUCAAAGCCGGGGAUCGCAAGACCUGGCGCUCGAAGAGGGGCCCGCGCCUGAUUAGCUAGUUGGGAGGUAACGGCUCACCAAGGCUACGAUCAGUAUCCGGCCUGAGGA